UACACUUAUGCCAAUGUUAAAAUACGAGAAAAACGGAGAAUCAACUCUGAGCGACGGUCAAAAGUGUCUCAAGACUCUGGAGAAUGGACAGAUGAUUGUUCUGGUAGCAUAACUGAUACAUUGGACAAGGCAGACGAUGAUGUUACACUUCGCUUUCGAACAUCUUCUGGAGUCCAA